rnacentral:rRNA from 1 species
NCGUUACUUGGGGGAAGUAAUUAGCCGUUGAUAGAUAGGUAUCCGAUCCUGGAUUUAUCUCCCGGUUUCUGAACCUCAGAUUCAACGUUAGGACNUUUAUCGUUGAACAAAACGAACCUUUGAUAGCGUUGCACCAUCAGGAUGUCCUGAUCCAACAUCGAGGUCGUAAACCCUAUUGGUCGAUAUGGACUCUUGAAUAGGAUUGCGCUGUUAUCCUCUAGGGUAACUUGUUCCGUUGAUCAAGUUUUUGGAUCAAUGAGCGAUAGAGUGAUUUGACUUGUGGGUCUAGUCUUUAAAAUCGCUCGGAGGAUUUUUUAUUCUCCGAGGUCACCCCAACCGAAACUACCAACUCAUGGAGAUUGUUGUUAUUCCUCAAUGGUUAAAUCUAUUCUCUUUGGGUUGGUUAGUUAAAGCUCCAUAGGGU